UAAGACAUAUUUUAUUAAAAUAUGUUAAUAUACAUACAAUAUUCACAAUUUUGGACACAUGUACUGAAAACACUCUACAUAACUUACUCAUCACCAUUAGGGCUGGUAUCCUCAAAAUGGUAUCAUUUCACAUAUUUCAGUAGUCUAUUACCUGGGAAUAAUUUAUCAACAGCACAGUUAGGUGCAGACGUAUACUGAGUAGAACUCUUCGUCAGCCUAAAGGAUCAAUCAAGAGUUCCCAUUGUGGUGCAAUGGAAACGAACCCGACUAGCAUCCAUGAGGACGCAGCUUCAAUCCCUGGCCUUACUCUGUGGGUUAAGGAUCCGGCAUUGCCGUGAGCUGUGGUAUAGGUUACAGAUGUGGCUUGAAUCCUGUGUUGCUGUAGCUGUCGUAUAGACCAGCAGCUGCAGCUCUGAUUCGACCCCUAGCCUGGGAACUUCCAUAUGUCACUGGUGCAGUCCUAAAAAGCAGAAAAAGAGAGAGAGAGAGAAAGAAAGGAAGGAAGGAAGAAAGAAAGGAAGAAAGAGAAAGAAUCAAAACACCAGAAUAAAAAAUAGCAGGUCACCCUCUAUUACCAAAUCCACUCUAGUUUACACAGCAGUGCAAGUGUUCCAUAAGCAGGGAAAGAGUAUCAGUCUCAUUUAAUCACAGCUGUAACCAAAAUCAAGUGGCUUUUUUUCCCCAAAAAUGUAAAUAACUCCAGACUUCUGGAUGCACACCUCCUGACCUCAUUAAGUGCCCAGGCUGCACCUUCCACCUCCACCUUGUCUCCCACCAGGUGGCUUUGACUUCCUGAGAGAGGACCAGUCAUCACCAGUGCCAGACUCGGGGCUGAGCUCCAGCUCCACCUCCUCCAGCAUCAGUCUGGGAGGCAGCAGUGGGAACCUCCCGCAAAUGACGCAAGAGGUGGAUGAUGUGGACGCAGCUGCUGAAACAGACGAGAAGGCAAACAAGCUCAUUGAGUUUCUGACCACCAGGUAAUGAGGGGACAGGAGAUGGGCUGCUGUUUUCAGGUCCGUCUCUUGGAAAAGUGACAUCACUUUAAAACCACAGAUGGAAAAGUGAGGCUGGCCUUCUGGAAAGGUCUUUUCCAUUCUCACUUGCAUCUUCUGGCGUGUGUGUACAAAGCAGACACUGGUAGACCUUGUCUAAGAUCCCGCUGACGUCCCAGUGGAGGGGGAAGGAGAUUCAUGCAUAAGAUUGUACAGCAGGUGGAGGCGGGAACAGUAGCUUCCUGAGACGAGCAUGGCUUUCGUCAUCUGUUAGAACUGCCAGCAUCUGGAAGCUCCGAGACUUGGCAAAGAACAUUGCUCUGGAAACCAAAGAUAUUAGCCACCAACGAUCCAGUAGCAGCUGCACAGGGGACCACUAUCUGCUCAUCUCAUCCAAAGAGUCAUUUGUAAACAGAAUGCAGAAAUUAGAAACAAUAGAAUGCCAUGAUAGGAAAAGAAUCAAACUGGUAAUAAAUCAAAAUCAGGAAAAGCUUCGAGUGAUCCUGUCUUUUUUCAGGUCUUUUGGUUCUUCUAAGGAAUGACUGAGCUUAGAAGGCCUCCAAAUCUCUAGCCCCCUGAGGUCCGACCUGUGUAUAAACACCUGCUUACCUGUGACCUGGGGCACGCUGUGCUUCUUCAGUGACCUCAGUCCUGGAGGUCUAUUCUAUUCAUGUAUUUGUUAACGAGUACCUCAUGGGAUUUUUUUCUUUCAUCAACUGAUGCACUAAUUCAU
ensembl:lncRNA